rnacentral:rRNA from 1 species
GAAAGUAAGCAAGGGCAGACGGUGGAUGCCUUGGCUCUCGGAGGCGACGAAGGACGUGAUAAGCUGCGAAAAGCUCGGGGGAGGCGCAAAUAGCCGUUGAUCCCGGGAUAUCCGAAUGGGGCAACCCGGCAGGCUGAAGGCCUGUCAUCCCGUAAGGGAGGCGAACGUGGGGAACUGAAACAUCUAAGUACCCAUAGGAGGAGAAAAUAAACAAUGAUUCCGUAAGUAGUGGCGAGCGAACACGGAAGAGCCCAAACCCAUGUCGUCUAGGCGACACGGGGGUUGUAGGACCACGACGUGGCAAGAUAGAGUCAAGUGGAACGCCUUGGAAAAGGCGGUCAUAGAGGGUGAAAACCCCGUACACGACUGACGAUUGAAGCCUAGUGGUAUCCUGAGUAGCGCGGGGCACGAGAAAUCUUGCGUGAAACAGCGGGGCCCAUCCCGUAAGGCUAAAUACUCCCGAGAGACCGAUAGCGAACCAGUACCGUGAGGGAAAGGUGAAAAGAACCCCGAGCAGGGGAGUGAAAUAGACCCUGAACCCGUCUGCCUACAAGCGGUCGGAGCAUAGCAAUAUGUGACGGCGUGCCUUUUGCAUAAUGAACCUACGAGUUACCUUCCCCGGCAAGGUUAAGUACCUAAGGUACGGAGCCGAAGCGAAAGCGAGUCUGAAGAGGGCGGCCAGUCGGGGGGGGUAGACGCGAAACCGAGUGAUCUACCCUUGGCCAGGUUGAAGGUUGGGUAACACCAACUGGAGGACCGGAUGGGUAAGCGUUGAAAAGCUUUCCAAUGAGCUGAGGGUAGGGGUGAAAGGCUAAUCAAACUCGGAGAUAGCUCGUACUCCCCGAAAUGCAUUUAGGUGCAGCCUCUUUAUAGUAUAUCGUGAGGUAGAGCGACUGAUUGGAUGCGAGGGCUUCACCGCCUAUCAAGUCCAGAUAAACUCCGAAUGCGCGAUAUAUAUUUAAAGGGAGUGAGGGCGCGGGUGCUAAGGUCCGUGUCCGAGAGGAGAAGAAUCCAGACCACCGGCUAAGGCCCCCAAAUGAUCGUUGAGUUGAACUAACGAGGUCGGAUCGCAGAGACAGCUAGGAUGUUGGCUUGGAAGCAGCCAUUCAUUUAAAGAGUGCGUAACAGCUCACUAGUCGAGCGAUCUGGCGUGGAUAAUAAUCGGGCAUAAACGAUCUGCCGAAGCCGUGGAUGUCGUAAGACAUGGUAGGGGAGCAUUCCAUGCGGCGUCGAAGAUGAGGGAUGACCCUUGUUGGAGCGCAUGGAAAAGCAAAUGUAGGUAUGAGUAACGAUAAGGGGGGCGAGAAACCCCCCCGCCGAAAGACCAAGGUUUCCUGAUCAACGCUAAUCGGAUCAGGGUGAGUCGGGACCUAAGGCAAAGCCGAACGGCGACGCCGAUGGAAGAAUGGGUUAAUAUUCCCAUACUGCCUCAUGGAGUGACGUGGAGACGGAGAAGUGACAGUCCUGCCGGCUGACGGAAUAGCCGGUUGAAGGGUGUAGAUAUUGAUUCCCGUAGGCAAAUCCGCGGGGAGAGUCGAACCUGACAGUAUACCGAGUACUUGUACGAGGUAAUAUGGACGUAACCAUGCUCCCAAGAAAAUCCGCUAAACUUAUCCAUGCGGCACCCGUACCGUAAACGGACACACGUGGUCGGGUUGAGAAUACUGAGGCGCUCGAGUGAUUCACGGUUAAGGAACUAGGCAAAUUGACCCUGUAACUUCGGGAUAAAGGGUCCUCGUCGUAAGGCGAGGCGCAGAGAAUAGGUCCAGGCAACUGUUUAACAAAAACACAUGGCUAUGCUAAAUGGAAACAUGACGUAUAUAGCCUGACACCUGCCCGGUGCUGGAAGGUUAAGAGGAGAUGUCAUCGCAAGAGAAGCGUUGAAUUGAAGCCCCAGUAAACGGCGGCCGUAACUAUAACGGUCCUAAGGUAGCGAAAUUCCUUGUCGGGUAAGUUCCGACCUGCACGAAUGGUGUAAUGAUCUGGACACUGUCUCAACCGUGAGCUCGGUGAAAUUGUAGUAUCGGUGAAGAUGCCGAUUACCCGCGAUGGGACGAAAAGACCCCGUGAACCUUUACUAUAGCUUUACAUUGAAUUUGGGCAGACGAUGUGUAGGAUAGGCCGGAGGCUUUGAAGGGGGUACGCCAGUAUCCUUGGAGCCGCCGUUGAAAUACGGCCCUUCGGUUGUUUGAGUUCUAACUCCUAGGCAGGAGGACACUGUAUGGUGGGUAGUUUGACUGGGGUGGUCGCCUCCAAAAGCGUAACGGAGGCUUCUAAAGGUGCCCUCAGACCGAUUGGUAACCGGUCGUAGAGUGUAAUGGCAUAAGGGCGCUUGACUGGGAGAGAUACAACUCGAUCAGGUAGGAAACUAGAGCAUAGUGAUCCGGUGGUUCCGCAUGGAAGGGCCAUCGCUCAAAGGAUAAAAGGUACUCCGGGGAUAACAGGCUGAUCAUUCCCAAGAGCUCAUAUCGACGGAAUGGUUUGGCACCUCGAUGUCGGCUCGUCACAUCCUGGGGCUGGAGAAGGUCCCAAGGGUUGGGCUGUUCGCCCAUUAAAGUGGCACGCGAGCUGGGUUCAGAACGUCGUGAGACAGUUCGGUCUCUAUCUAUCGUGGGCGCAGGAGAUUUGAGGGGCUCUGACACUAGUACGAGAGGACCGUGUUGGACGUACCACUGGUUUACCGGUUGUCCCGCCAGGGGCACCGCCGGGUAUCUAAGUACGGAUCGGAUAAGUGCUGAAAGCAUCUAAGUACGAAGCCGGCCUCAAGAUUAGAUCUCCCUGAAGGGUGGUUAUAGACGAUGACCUUGAUAGGCCACAGGUGUAAGGGCGGCGACGUCCGAGCCGAGUGGUACUAAUAGCCCGGGACUUUCCUCAC